GGCUUAUUCAGGCAGACUCAUUUCAGCUGUUCUUGGUUGGGAAAUCCCCUGCCAAACCAGGUUGUCUUUUCUCUUCUAAAGGAGAACUGCUUCUCCUUCCAGCUGUGUUUGCCCAACAAUGCAUGGAGAACAGAAAAAGGUGCGUGCAUAAGGGUGAUAUUGCUGCUAAAAUUUUGCAGUGCUGGAAUGAAGAUGUUGAAAGUCCAUGGUCAUCUCCAAAAGACAAAUUGCUGCCUCUAAAGACAAGUGUCUCAGAUGUCAAGGAUCAUCUUUGAAAGUUCCUAUCUCUUUCCAGAGGCUGCCAAAGCAAUGUUGGUGAUUCAUUUGAAAACACACUCUACAGGGAGGCAUUGAUCUUGCCCAUCGUGUUCUGCCUGGGACCACUACAAACAGAAGAGGACAAAUACUCAAGUCAGUAUUUUUAGAGUGGCUAAUAAGUCAAAUCCAAAAGAUAGUUGAUGUCACAUCUGUCCUCAAGGAUUGCACAUACCAGUGGUGCAGAGGUUUUGCUGGGGGUUCAGAGUAACCUCAUGAAUUGCCUUCUGUGUGGGCACCUAGAAAUUCAUACUACUUAAAAAAAUUAUUUAUUGCUUUGGAAAUGGCAGGUAGCAACAACCGCAGAUUUUGAAAAAUGUCUGAUGCAGCUAAGCAUUGAAUUCUGGAUUAGAGUUAUGUCCCUAAAAUGCUGUGUUUGUUAUGUUAUUCUGUUCUAUGAACUUAAAAAGAUUAUCAGAGCUAUUAAAUGAGGCAACUAAACAGUUUUGGAUUGUGUUUUGUUGAUUGGAUUAAAGAUUUUACUUGUUUUUCUGCUUGAGAAAAUAUGAUAUUUUAUGUAGCAUCUGCUUUGAAUUAAACAUAUCUUUCAGCCCCCUUUCACAAUUUCUACAUACACAUUUUCUUUUAUAACAAACAAACACAGGGUUCUGAAGCUCUGAAAGCCCACAGCUGUUUGUGUUACAUGGAGAAAGUGAGCCUGUUCUUGCUCCUACGGAAAAAAAAAAAACAAAACACUAAAAUAAAAAAAUGAGAUCGGUUCAAUAUGUUGAUAAAGGCAAAAAUGGUAAGGUAUUGUGGUUGUUACAGAGACAGCUUGUUAAACAUAUCAAAGCAUACCACAGAUGACAGCUGAAUGAAGCCGGAUGGUUAGGAAUUGAUUGUGGUUGAAAACAUGCCUUCUUUACUUGAAAUUUCACUACAUCAGUACAUACCCCACCCAAAUAUUUGUUUUCUAAACUUCGCUGAAGCGAUGCAUAGGGACAAAAGCUAAAGAACUUCAUAUGUUCAGAAAUUGUGCAGAGCAGUUAAGCAAGAUGUCAUUCAGAUUCAGCUGCUGUGACAAGGAAGAGAACAAAAUGUGAACUGCGUGCAAAAUAUUCCCCUUCUGUGAACAGCAUCAGAAAUUUUUUUUGGCUUGCGGGCUGAACAAGUGACACAGUUAACUGACUGACACUUCAUUUCCAGCUAAUUUUUGGCAUCUGACUCAAAGCAGUCUCUGUACAGCUGCACUGACAGACAUAAGCUCUACUAUGGGAUAAGUUGCCAUUAGAUCAGUGCUUUGGAGAAUCCUAUAAAAACCUUGCCUCCCAAAGUAGAGGAGAGAUUAAGCUCGCUUUUUUUUUUGCCUUUUUUUUUUUUUUAAAGCCCCAAGGGCUCAUUUAUGAUCUCAUUAAGAUCAACAGGAAUUUUAAUUUAAAUUCAACAACAUGAAUAUUUAGUUCUCAGACAUCAAUUCAUACAGUCUUGAGGCUCUUCAUGGGUUGUACUGGGAAGCUGCAUUUGGGAAACCAAGCACUCCUUUGCUUUUAAUCAGUCUCUGAACACUUCAAACAUAAUGAGGUAAAGUUUUGAGAUUCAUGUGGAUGACUGAAGCAGUGGCUGGGAUGUAAGGAGAGGUAGCAUCACCCAUCUGUCUCUUCUUCAGGGACCCCAUUUUGAUUUAGCAGUUUCAGGCAGAGUCAUUAGUGUGCGUCAGCCCAUGACUGCCCAACAACACUGUACAGAUCGCAGAAACCUCCAUACAGAGUUCCCUGUAGCCUUAAAGCCUUAAAGCAUUGUCUGAAAUCACCAAAUAAUAACAUUGACUUAAAGACAGUUCUGGAGAUGUGUGCCAGAACUCAGUGCAAAACAAUCUUGUCUGAGCUCAGUGGCCCCAUACGAAGAGUAGUAAAGGUUUAUAUAAUUACAUCAUUGUCAGAGCGAAAUAAGGACUCAGCAAAACAAGUCAAUUCAAUGUGAAUCACUCUAAAGCCAUUUAUUACAGAAACCAGCCUCCUUAUAUAUGCAACUAUAUUCUAAUCACACAUCCACGCUCCAAGCAUGGAUUCGCUAAAUGAGUAUCAUGGGCUGUCCAUGCGCUGGAGUCUCACUGAUGAUACGUCUGAUGAUUCACGCCACGCCAGGAUCCCGGUGAUUGUGGAACACCCCACUUUCUCACAGCAGAUUCUGUUCUCAGCUUCUCGAAGCAGCCUUGAGGUUCCUUUGAGCCUGACUAAUUCAGCAACAAACCUUUAUCUAUCAAAACCCCUCCACACAUCAUCUUUAAAAGCCACUCCCUUAUAAAAACAGGUUGUGGACUGUUUGGUAAAUCACCUUACAUCUUCGAUUUUGUGUUCCUGUCAAUCACAGCAAUUAUUGUCACUCCAGAUGUAAAUUAAGAAAACAAAUUUAUUUAUGUAGUGCUUAAGUGGGCAAGGAAGAGAGACAUUUCCAGGUGUAUGGACAAAGUUAGGGCUCAGAACAUUUCAGAGGGAUAUCCAGUAACUGGAAUAGCCACUUAUAUCACAGCAUCACAACAACAUUUAAAGAAAUGUUCACCAACUGAUAUGAUGCCAAAGUGAAUUGCAGUUUCUAUCUAUAUCUAAAAGUUCCCUUGCACUCUGAUGUUUAGCAAGAUACCUUGUUUUCCAUAAAUCCUAGUAAGAUGAGCACCGACAGUCUCUAACUCCUGAAAUGCACUGAAAAACUAACAUGUAAAAUUGUUAGCUGCUGCCAAUGUAAUGGCAGUCAUUAAUUAUGGCUCCUAUGGUACCUGCAUUCAUGUCUUUUUGAGUUAAGUUUAUCAUUAUAUGCAAAGUGAAGGCAGGAGAUAAUUGAAAAACCACAAAAGAUGUAGUGUUUGCAAAACUUUUGUAAACAUGAAAUUAAGCAAGGUGUACUCCUGAGGUAAUGAAAAAGGUAUCUGAGUCAAUUUCUUUCCUGUGCAUUUAAAAUUAAAAUAAAAAAAACUCUCAAGCAGUGUCAGACUGAACUCUCUUCUGACAUGUUCUUGCAGAUAUGACCAAAAGAACACCUUAAGAAAUAUGGCAAGCACAUAUGAGAUAUAUUUAGCUAUAUCAACUGAUCGACCCUUUAGUUCCAGAAUCAAGACAGAUUCUGGGACAACAAGAGCAAUGUCGUUUCUCCAGAUUUCUCACUAACGAUAAUUGCCUGUAUGUUCUAUGCCAACAUGUAGGACCAAGGAUAUCUAAUUUUUGCUUUUGGGAAGUAGCUUGGACAUUCUUUUUCCUGAGUAAUUACUGGACCACAAGGACCUGAUGGAGGAAGUUGUAUGCUUCAUGGGGAAAAUGUCCAGAUUGUAUGGCAGUAUGAAGAGAUUGCCUAAAUUGCCUAGAUUGCCUAAAGAAGGCAGCUCAUUUUUCUCUUGGAUAGUAUAUGACACAUGUAGUUUAAGGUCUUAAAAACAGAAAAAGUUCUGCUACAACUGUAAUAAAAUAAUAAUAUGUGAUAAAUUUUACUGACUAUUGGAAUCUAUUAUCUUUUUAUGUCAUAUGCUUUUAAAUGCUGUUGUUGUCCUGUUCGAUUGUGAAAGACAGAGAUCUCGUCUUAGAUGAAAAAUGGAAGCAAUUGUUUGUUCCCUGGGCACUUAAUCACUUUUGUAGCUUUUAAACACAAAUCUCAAAAAAAAAAAAAAAAAAAAUCAUACAAAGGAAUAACUGUGUUUGUUUAUCAGAACUUUUUUUGGUCUCCUCACCUCCAAGAACACAGUGAUAAUAACUUUUGUAUUUGAAUAGGGAGCACUCUUCGUGUUCAAAUAACAGGUAGUUAGGCGAUACCUGGAGGCAUUAUAUCUGAAUAACAUGAAGAAUAUUAAUAACUAUGUUAUUUUUCUGUGUUUUGUACUUAAUAGGUAGUUACAAUUAAAAACUUCACAGCAUGAAGUUGUCCCCAGGCAAUUAGAUCAGUAACUUCUCCAACAAAACCAACUUUUCAAUGAUAGUUGCAGCUGAGCUGAAUACUUUGCAGAAGUCAGAUCUCUUUCAGUUUUCUUAAUAGUCAAAUGAAAAGAAAAAUUGAAGUCAAAUUGAAAUUAAAAACUUUAUCUUUAUAAACUUUAUAUAAACUUUAAUUUUUAUCAGAUUCAUGGGAGGAAAUAGCUGCUUAUCGCCCAGCUAAAAUUAAACUAUACAUAUGUAGCAAUGAAAUUACACUUUAAGCUCUACAAAAAUAAUCACAUAUUCAAAUGGUAACGUCAUGGUCUCUCCUGUGAUACAUUCAAUGGAAAUAUUGGCCCCUGACAAAGAAGUCCCCUCUGUCUCUCAUGGAAAAACUCCCAAAUGCACAGCUGUUUUCUGCAAAUCAAAUGCAAAUCACACAACUGUUAUUUGUAUAUUGCUUUUGAUUCUGUUUUUUUUUCUUCCAGCUGCUGACAGCUUAAUAACACUUGAAAAUAGCCAAACACUUCAUAAUUCCUGGAGAAGAAUGGGAUGUAUUGCUUAGACCUUUUCUGAAAGACCUUCUGGAAACCUCUGACUAAAAAGAUGGGCUUCAUUAUUUGAUAGCUUUCUUUGUUCUUUCUAAAAGAAAGUUAUUUCUGGACAGCUUUACCUUCUUCCCUGUCAGGCUCCUUGCCUAUUCUAAUUAACCUGGAUCAUCAGUAAAGUACAAAGGACAGGUGACAGGACUAUGGCCAUUGCACAU